CCAAAGAAAACCGGGUUUCCUGCCGGCUGACUGCUCCUGCCCUGCCAGCUGCCGUUUGCUCUCCCCACCCUGCCCCGACCAUCCUGAGCCCAGUCUCCCAGACCAUGUAAUCCUUUUAAACAGAGAUCGGUGGCUCUCUCCCCAUGUGACAACAUGGCAAUAGGCUUCCUGGGCCUCUAAGGUUCUGCAGGAUCUGACCUCCCACCAGAUGCUUGGGGUAUCCUCAAAAGCCCAUCCACCGCAGGGAGAGCCUCUGGAGUCCCUGCUUCGUCUGCCUGAGUUGUUCUUUCUCCAGCUCUUUGUAGUCACUCUUUCACUUUGUUCAGAUUUGGGCUCAAGUAUGGGUCGGGAAGAUUCCCUGGAGAAGGGAUGGUACCCACUCCAGUGUUCUUGCCUGGAGAGUUUCAUGGACAGAGGAACCUGGUGGGCUACAGUCCAUGGGGCCACAGAGAGUCGGACACGACCAAGCAACUAACAAAUGCACACACCUCAUCUCCUCACAACAUGCUCCCCAAUGACCCUCUUCUCCCUUCUGCACCCCCACCUGGGUGAGAUCACAAAUGACAAAUGACCACAAACUCCGUGGCUUCAGACAACACACAUUUAUUCUCUCAUGGUUCUGGAUGUCUGAAGUCCCCCAAACCAGUUUCAACUGGGUGAAAAGCAAGGUGUCAGCAAGGCCACAUUCCCUGCAGAGGCUCCCAGGGCUAAGCUGGGCCUGCCUUUUCCAGCUCCCAGCACUGCCUCGCGUGUGCUCUGCAGCUCAGGGCCCCUUCCUCCAUUAUCAGAGCCCGCAGGGUGGCAUCUGGGUUCAUGGCCACAUCUGUCUCUGCUAUAGUCAACCCUCUCUCUGCACCUCUCUAAUGAGGACACUUGUGGUUACACUUGGGGGUGGGGGGAACCCAGAUCUCUCAGGGUAAUGUAAGGGAAGAUACAAGUGCAAAGAAAAACAUUCUAAUUCUCCCUGGUGCUAAAAGGGGGAAAAGUCCCCCUCCCACUCUAUCCCUAGGGGCAUUUUCUUUAGAAAACUUCUAAUUGGAAGUCCUUUCUCUGUGCCUUUGAGGUGUAUGUAAAUAUUUUGAAAAGCUCACUAAGCCUCUUGCCAGAUUUACACCCAGGACUGUGUUUUUUGAGGACCUGGGAGCCAUCUCUUCGAACAGCAAACAUCAAAGGAACAGCAGCCAGUGUCCCCUCCCGUGGGAGGUGGGAACCUAACUCAGCAGCGCCCGGCUCCAAGAUGCCAACCUCCUCCCAUCGUCACCGAGAUCCGUGAAGUGUGUGCUUCCUUUGCAUGAAGGCAGUGAGCUCUCCCUGGUGGCCGCCAACUCCAGACUGGCAUCAGGCUCUGCCUUCUUCAACUAAAUUCAAAAGAUGGAUUCAGAGACCGGGGUGUAUCCAUUCUUGGCUUGAACGUGAACGUGAAAGUCGCUCAGUCGUGUCCGACUCUUUGGACUAUAUAGCCCAUAUGAUUCUCCAGGCCAGAAUAGUGGAGUGGGUAGCUUAAAGCCAAGCUUGAUUUGGAAGAGUUACCGAAAGAGUGUGUGUGACCAUCUGGCUGCUCGCUGCUCAAAAGCCAAUAAGCAGCCCAGGCUUAUGGAAAGGAAAGUUUGCUUUAUUUCAGAUGCCGGCAACUGGGGGCAGGGGAGGGCGGACGUCUGUCCAAAGGCCGACUCCCAGCUCCCUCCGGUAACCAGUUGGGCAAGAGGUUUUAUAGACAGAAGGAGGGGGCUACAUGCAGAAACAGAACAGUCAGCUGUGACAGUCAUCUUCAAAUUGGUCACUGGUGGUCUGACCUGCAUCAUCUUGGUUGUUUUAGGUACAGUUAAUCUUUAGGUCCAGGGCCCAUUUGUUCCCAUUUCUUUGCGGCCAGUUCUCAGAAUUGUGGCAGCUUCUGUACAGUCUGG
ensembl:lncRNA